CUCUACUGUGUUGGCCAACACACUCUCUCUUGGCUGUCUCCCUUCAUAGGGCACGGGCAGGAGUGCUAUGUGUGCAUCCCCUCAGGCUAGGUCUCGGGAGCUAUGAACAAGUAGGAGGGGACGGAAAUCAUGCAUCGUAGUGGGUGCUAGAGUGGAGGGGUGACUGUGGAUGUUGACUGUCUCUCUUCAAGUGGGCCUGAUGUAGAUAGGCAGGGAUGAGGGCAAGAUUACCUGCACCAAUUGAAUUUUGUGUAGUGAUGGCUCAUGCUUCGCUCAUUUCCUGGGCUUGCAGAGGAAUUGUCCAGGAGCAGCAGCUGAAGGAGAAAGUGGCAGACGCGGAUCUGAGGAGCCUGGACAUCCUUCUAAGCAGACAUGAAUGGUCCUCAGAUUUCUGCCUCCCGCACAACUGGCUGUGAGUAAGCGGUCAGUGCUUGGAAUCCCUCAUCUGUUCUGGCUCCGGUUUUGUUCAGAGGCUCUGAAUUUCUUCAUUGGACACGGUGCUCUGUGGGAUUCAGAUGAGGCAAAGGCACAAGUCUCCUGUGCAGAUGCUGGGUUUAGUACCAAGUGCAGAGUCAGAGUCCACUCCGCACAUGCCAUGGAAAGGGAGCGAGAACUGGGAGAUUCUAAGCAUUGUUGAUGCCAGGGAAGAGCCAUCCAGCUGGGAGUGGAGCAAGGACCACUGUCCGUGAGAUAAGUGUCUUGUUAGGUGAAGGCUCUGCUGUGGUUAUGAGGGAGACAAGGUCCCUAUUUUCAGGGGCUGCUCAGUCCUCUGGCCAGUACCGGUGAGUCCUCUGCAGCGGAAGGUUGGACCCAGGAGGAUGACUCCAGCUGCAUUUCCAGAGGAAUUGUCCAGGAGCUCGAGCCGGAGGAGAAACUGGCAGAGGUG